ensembl:lncRNA
GAAUGAAUAAGAUGAGAUAGUGAAUAAUACACUGGGAGUUUAAAGGGAGGUUUUGGCUCUGUUGAGCCAUGUGAGAAUGGGUGUGUGUGUGUGUGUGUGUGUGUGAUAAGAAGCCAUGUUUAACUCAGACAGACAUGCACACAUGGUCUCAUGGGAAUUCGGACAUGUGCACACCCGGAUAUGUGAUAUGAGGACGGCGUCUCAGCUGUCUUUAGAGCUUGAUUCGUCCAAUCAGCCGUGUGGGCAAAGCAUUUUUGUCACAGAGUAGUGAAUUCCACAAGGUUUUGGAAAAGUUCCUUUGAAGUACUGGUCCAUGCUGACAUGACUGCCAGACAUAUUUACUGCAGAUUUAUCAGCUGCGCAUUCAUCCUGAAAAUCUCUCGUUGUACCACAUCCCAAUCGUGCUCACUAUUAGAUUCAGAGCUGGUGACUUGGAGGACCAUCGAAGUACAGUACCCUGAACUCAUGGUUAUGUUCAUGGAACCAGUUUGAGAUGGCUUUGGGACAUGCUUGAAGUAACCAUUAUAAGAUGGUUAGCGACAAUACACAGACAGGCCGUGGCAUUUAAACGAUGCUUUCCCCACACCGUUACACUACCACCACCAGCCUGAAGUGUUGUUACAAGGCAGGUUAGAUCUACAUGGAUUCAUGCUGAAAUCCAUGAAAUGCAGCAGAAUCGAGAUUCAGCAGAUCAGGAGAUGUUUUAUUAGUUGUCAACAGUCCAGUUUCAGUGAGCCUGUACCCACUGUAGUCUCAGAUCCUGGUUCCUGGCUUGCAGGAGUGGAAUCUGAUCCAGUUAUCUGCUGUUGUAGCCCAGGUUUGGUUUGAUGAUGUGUGUUCUGAGAUGAUUUUCUGUUCACUGCAGUUGUAAAGAGUGGUUAUUUGAGUCUUCUUUGGAAUUGUACUUUUUUAUGAGCAGAUAAUUUUACUCAAUUCGACCAUUAAAAAAUUUUUUUUUUUAAAGAAAAGAAACACAACGAGACAUUUUAAGUAAAAAAAAAUAGCCUCGACAUUUAGGUUGGUCGAAUAAAUUUGGUCAAAAAUUUGCAACCGUCUCAAGAUUUAUUCUUUGCUUCAGGUUCAAAACAGACUUCUCGUCUGUCGAAAGUGGUACGAUGAAUAUCCUCAUGGAAAUAAGAUACAGUCACUUUAAAUUAUUAAUGGUUAACGAUUAAAAGGUAACUUUUUUUUUUCAUUGCCAUUCAGUCGUGAUGUCAUGAGGAAUUUUAUGUCACUGGACUUUCAUAAAUUGUGGUUGAAAAGUUAAGAAAAAUGGAUUUGUUUGUAAACAGAGUGUAUUAGAAAUGUGAUAGAUUUCUUCUGUCCUGUACGUCACUCUGACACUGUGGCAUGAGUCGACACUGACGUUAGUGUGUGAGUGUAUGUGUAGAGUUUAGGUCAGUGUGUGCGUGUGUAUGUGAGUGUACAUGCAGGGUUUAGGUCAGUGUGUGUGUGGAUAUACGUGUGAAGCUCUGAGUCUCAAACAACAGCAGGAAAGGGCUCACUCCAUGGCCAUAGGAAAUUACAUCAGCACAAAUCUGCAGCUGCCAGGAAGUGUACAGAAUGAAAAGUGUGUGAAGGAAAUGUCCUGAAGUUUGAAGAAAGUAGGAGGAGGAGGAGAUCAUAUGAGCUUUGAUUCAUCUGAGAACUCCACCAGUCAGUCUCGAGAAUGUUCAUGGAUACGAUUUGUUUACGGUUGAAAGAAUUGAUCGAUCAUCAGGUAAAUAAGCGCAUGAUUAUUUUCAGUUUUUUUUUUAGAAGUAUUUUGUGUGUAUAAUAGUGUAUAUGAUGUUAU